CCUACGGGAGGCAGCAGUGAGGAAUAUUGGUCAAUGGGCGCGAGUCUGAACCAGCCAAGUAGCGUGAAGGAUGACUGCCCUACGGGUUGUAAACUUCUUUUAUAAAGGAAUAAAGUGAGGCACGUGUGCCUUUUUGUAUGUACUUUAUGAAUAAGGAUCGGCUAACUCCGUGCCAGCAGCCGCGGUAAUACGGAGGAUCCGAGCGUUAUCCGGAUUUAUUGGGUUUAAAGGGAGCGGAGAUGGGUUGUUAAGUCAGUUGUGAAAGUUUGCGGCUCAACCGUAAAAUUGCAAUUGAUACUGGCAGUCUGGAGUACAGGUGAGGUAGGCGGAAUGCGUGGUGUAGCGGUGAAAUGCAUAGAUAUCACGCAGAACUCCGAUUGCGAAGGCAGCAUACCGGAGCCCAACUGACGCUGAGGCACGAAAGCGUGGGUAUCGAACAGGAUUAGAUACCCGAGUAGUC
rnacentral:rRNA from 1 species